UUAAAGGGCUGCAGUAUAUUGACUGUACAAAGGUAGCAUAAUCAUUAGUCAUUUAAUUGAUGACUUGUAUGAAGGAUUGGAUGAAAUAUAAACUGUCUCUUAAUUAUAUUUAGAAUUUAAUUUUUUAAUUAAAAAGUUAAAAUAAAUUAGAAAGACGAGAAGACCCUAUAGAGUUUUAUAAGUAAAAUUAAUUGAGAUUAUUUGUAAAGGUUAAGAUUAAGAUUAAUUUAUUUAUUUUGUUGGGGUGACAGAAAAAUAUGAAAAACUUUUUAUAAGUUUAAAACAUUAAUAAGUGGUUAAAUGAUCCAAUAUUAUUGAUUAUAAGAAAAAAUUACCUUAGGGAUAACAGCGUAAUUUUUUUUUUUAGUUCAUAUAAAAAAAAAAGUUUGCGACCUCGAUGUUGGAUUAAGAUAAAAUUUAAAUGCAGAAG
rnacentral:rRNA from 1 species